UCUAAAUGGUACCAGUCUGUAGCGCUGUAGCUAACUGGUUUCCAGCUUCAGACCAGCGGGCUAACUGGUUCCCAGUGAAAUAAAUGAAGGCAGAUUCUUCUCCUGGGUUCACUUCAAUGUUUUCUCUGUCGGUGUGAACUAGAAGCAGCUACACAGAGAUGAAAAAACCCGCAGAGACUCUGAGCGGAGCUAGCGAUGCUAACAAUGCUAAGAGGCUCCAACCGCAGAUUCAGAGGAGCUGUGGCUCUUAAACUGGAGCUUCAGCUCCAACAGAGAUGAAACAAAGCUCUACAACUCUGGUUUAGACGAUAAGAUGCUGAGCUUCUGGUCUGAAGAGCAGGACGGUUUCUGCCCUAGUGGACCCAGAUCGUAUCUACAGCUACUUGAUAAAGUUUGAGCGUUUACAAACCACAUUCACUUCCGGUGAGUACUUUCACAUUAAGACCGAUUGAAACGGGUUAUUUUACUGUUAGCUUUUAUAUAAAAUAAUAUAUUUAAAGUUUUUUGAAACAAAGAAAGUUUACACAAAAUCUGCAAAUUAAACUCUGCUGAGGUUUUCCCCACCCACACAAUUUUCCUAUUUCUUCAAUCAAUACAG